UGUUAUUCACGUUUUAUUCCCGCAAACCGGCCAGCAAGUACCAAACAUCUUCGAAAGCCAGUGCUAUAGUCAGAUUGGAGCGUUUCGAAUUAACACGGUUGCCCCACACGUAUAAGAUCACCGAACAUGAGUUCGUCAUCCGGUUCCUUCAAACAUGUAUUGUUGAGUCCAAGUGGACGCCCCUGUGAUCAAGUCCAACAGGUUCUGGUGCGUCGUUUUGACCAUCUACAAGUGCUUGCAAACACCAAUCUAGAGUUACCAGACGUUGUGGGUGAGAUACGGUCUGUGCAGGGGUCUGAUCUCCAAAACGUUGCAGCCACAGGCAGAAUUGUUAUCUUAAUUCGACCGUGAGUUAAUUUUUUUUUUUUUUUUGUGAUCUUGAGUUGCGUAGCAAGUUUGAAAUGGAAUAUAGUCUAUUGUGAUACAAGAUUUUUAGAAUUACGUUUACAUGUAACGUCCUCACUUACCAGGUUUCGUCUUGAAGCUGUUGUUGACAAUCAGGACAGUGUUACUUUUAUAGUCUUCGACAGAGAGAUAACGAAACUCAUCAAGAAAGAGGUAGCAAGUCUGGCUCUUGAGGAGAUGAGUAGCGGUGGGGGGUGGGGCUACCAAAAUGUCUUAAGGAGCUAUCUGGAAGUGAAUACGUUUUCAGCUAUGUGUCACUUCCUAAAAUUUCACACCCAACCACCGCACCUUCACCAUCUCUGCCAUCAGUGACAAGCUCUUCUUUGGCAUCUCAUGCAGAGGUGUUGGGUGAUUUACGUCUUUCUUUGAACUGCUUUAAACUGACACACAUGUUCCAGUGUUUCGUAGGUUGGCAGCAGCACAGCUACGGUCGUGGAUAUCCAAUCUGGACAAGCAACAUAAUCUGCAGCUCAACGAUCGAUGGGGCAAAGUUAGCAUUGGGAGUUGACGAAGAAAAUCAUUCCAGCAUCUGCAGGAAACGAGAAAACCAAACGCCCACGUGAGUGAUAGUUUCAAGGCCAUCAAACCAUCCACCCCACUUGGCUUGGAACUUAUUUCAGUUUACUAUCUCUCCAUGUCUUCCGUACUUUUAACUUCGGCUGCACUUGGAUUUUCUGCAAAAUAUUUUCAUACUAGCAUUUCAAGUAAUAAAGGGAGGAACGUGACGUGUCUUUACCUUUAAAACAUUUCAUUAACAUGACUCACAAUAACACUACUAAACAUGAAAUGUGUAGAUUUACGUCCA